UACGUAGGGUGCAAGCGUUAAUCGGAAUUACUGGGCGCAAAGCGUGCGCAGGCGGCUAUGCAAGACAGAUGUGAAAUCCCCGGCUCAACCUGGGAACUGCAUUUGUGACUGCAUGGCUAGAGUACGGUAGAGGGGGAUGGAAUUCCGCGUGUAGCAGUGAAAUGCGUAGAUAUGCGGAGGAACACCGAUGGCGAAGGCAAUCCCCUGGACCUGUACUGACGCUCAUGCACGAAAGCGUGGGGAGCAAACAGG
rnacentral:rRNA from 1 species